GCUGAGGAUAUAGCUCAGUUGGUAGAGUACUUGCCUUGCAUGCACAAGGCCCUGGGUUAGAUCCCCAGCACAACA
rnacentral:tRNA from 1 species